rnacentral:pre_miRNA from 1 species
CAGCGUGUGAACGUCUCACGUUGUGCUGUGUGAUGGCGGAAUACACUGCAUAGCGUGUGACUUCCCUACACAGU